GUACAGGGAUGCAAGGAGGCGUCAAGACCAGCUUCUGCUGCAACAAACCCAUCAGACCAGGCUGAGACGGAGAGGGGGGCUGAGCAGAAAGCAAGAAGGAGCUUCCUUUGCUUUUCAAUGACCAAACUCAGGAUCAACUUCAAGCGUUCCAAGAGAGGAAACAAAAAGGACUGCCAUUCAGUCCAAGACCAGACUGAGAUUCCCUCUACUGAUGGACAUUGCAUAGGUAAGGAUGUUUUAGAGCUCUGCUAUAGCUUGUAGUUUUGUUUAGGUGUGUGUUAGAAACAUAGGAAUGCCUACCAAACUCAUAGCACUGUUAUUUUUCAACGUUACUAUACUGCAUCUCUCUCUCUCUCUCUCUCUCUUACCCCAUCCAUUUCUCUUGUGUUUCUAGCUCCAGUUGGAGAGGUUUCUCCCUCCAUAUCUCAGCCUGUCAAAAAACGAUCCUUGAUUGUCAGGGUCUUUUCAGCAAUGAUGAAGCCAUUCAGGCGCUUCACCAAGAAGAACCUGUAACCUGUUACGCUGCAUGAAGAACUACUUAUGUAACAGCAAUACUUUUGACAAGAGGAAUUUCUGCAUGUCUACCCUUUCAAAGUCUAUUUGAUCAAAUAAAUGCCAUUGAUUUUACAAGAAUUUCAAGUGUUUUGGAAGAUUGAUUUUCUCAGAGAAAUGCACUAGUUCCCCCUUGGUUACACAUUUAUUGUGCAGUUUUUGAGUUGGCAGGACAUAGGGCGUCAGGUAGCCUUGUGGUUAGAGCAUUGGGCCAGUAACCGAAAGGUUGCUAGGUCAGAUCCCUGAGCUGGCCAUGUAAAAAAUAUGUUGUUCUGCUCCUGAACAAGGUAGUUAACCCACUGUUCCUAAGCUGUCAUUGUAAAUAAGAAUUUGUUCUGAAGUGACUUGUCUAGGAAAAUAAAUAAAAUAACCACAGCUUGACUCUAAUACAAUAGUUGCUGCAUAGACUAUCAGAUAACCAGAUGUUCUCUAUUAAUUUAGUUAGAUUGGUAAGAGCUUAUUAGCAGCAAGGGGAAAACACAUAGAGGAGAAUUACAUAUCUGUAGCUAGAUCAACCCUCU
rnacentral:lncRNA from 1 species